UGCAACCUGAGCUCAGUCGUGAUUACCCGCUGAACUUAAGCA
rnacentral:rRNA from 1 species